rnacentral:rRNA from 1 species
AAUGAACGUUGGCGGCGUGGAUUAGGCAUGCAAGUCGCGCGAUAAGCUCCCGCAAGGGAGCCCAAAGCGGCGAAAGGGAGAGUAACGCGUGGAUUACCUACCCUUCGGCCCGGGAUAGCUGCGGGAAACUGCAGGUAAUACCGGAUAACGUCUCCGGACCAAAGGUGAGACUCCGCCGAGGGAUGGGUCCGCGUCCUAUUAGCUUGUUGGUAGGGUAAUGGCCUACCAAGGCGAUGAUGGGUACUGGGUGUGAGAGCACGACCCAGCUCACUGGGACUGGGACACUGCCCAGACACCUACGGGUGGCUGCAGUCGAGGAUCUUCGGCAAGGGGCGCAAGCCUGACCGAGCGACGCCGCGUGCGGGAUGAAGGCCUUCGGGUUGUAAACCGCUGUCAGAGGGGACGAAAUUCCUAGGGGUACUCCCCUAGGAUUGACCGAUCCUCAGAGGAAGUACGGGCUAAGUUCGUGCCAGCCGCCGCAGUAAAAC